CUCACAAGCGUCCAGCCAGUAAGACCCGCCGCCGUUUGCCGGAACCCUAGGAUUCUCCAUCAACAAGUUAAAACCCUCUCCACCUCACACUGUAAUAGAAAACGAGAAAAAAAUAACUGGAGACACAGAAGAAAAUAAAAUCAGAAAAUCGUGCUUGUUGCUUGCAGAUUGGGAGCUGAUAGACCGUACGAAGCAGGAGAAUAGUGCGAUCGGGUAGGGUUAGUGAGAGUGAGAGAGAGAUAGAUAGAAAGGGGAAGAGCUUUUUCUCUCCUUUCUCUCACUCUCUGCCCCAAGUAGGGAGAAUUUCUUCUCCUUUUUCGUGAGAUAUUCUGCAAG
rnacentral:lncRNA from 1 species